GUAACUUUUCAGUUACUUUGGCAACACUGUAUAUAUAUAUCAGCAGUGACUGAGUGAAAUUGAAAUUUGCUUCAAUACUUUUACCAAAAAUGGUGUGUUUCGGUAGAUGAAUUUAAUUACAUUUGUCAUAACUUUCAUUAUUUGCACACAUCGUGAACAGCUGCUGAAUCAAACGGACUGUAAUACAGAUGCUCUCACUCACCCUCGUCACACAGCUGAACUUGUGUUGGAUGUUUGCUCUUCAGCCUAUUUUCAGCUUGUCAGAACUUCCUUCUAUCAUAUAUCAUGAGUAUCAUGUACACACUGCCUGCUAAACAGAGGUGACAUUUCUUCACACCAGAGUGACAAUGACGACUGGCUGCCAGGCUUCUCUAAUCUGCAAAACUCUUGCUUGAGCAUUUCUCAAAUACUGUUUGGUGCUGGCUUUCCUUCUCUUUGCUCGGGUGAUUCCAGUUCAUAACCAAAACUGUUCGUGUCCACAUUCUACUCUAUCAUGCAUGCAAGAAUGAAUAUUUCUGAACGGCCGUGACUCACGGGGGCUGACGCAGAGAAACUCAGAGGGAAGUUGCAUCAGUGCUGUACUGCAACAUGACAGGAGAGGAAAACCAAAUUCUGCCGCACUUCAACCUGACUAACACAAACUCAGGAGAUACAUCAUAUCACCACUUAUUCCACAUCAUGUACACACGGCACUCUGCAAAGGUUUUAUUUAAUGUGCCAAAAGUUUGAUAAGUGCAUACACAUAUGUAAAACGUGACCUCCUUUUCAGGUAUAAAAAUACAUAAUUUCUAUAAACUUAAAGAAACUUAUGCAACUUACAGAAACCUAUGGAAUCUUAUUUCUAUAAGUUUUCUUACAAACUGGAAGAGCAGUUUGUAAGAAAACUGAGUUAUACUUAAUCACACUUUUGCAAUAGUUUUAUUACUGAGCAAUAAUUGGAAGCUGUCUUUGUGUUGCCAGAUAUCGGGCACUACACCCUCAAAGAAGACAAACUGUUUUUUUUUUUUUUUUUUUUUUGAAAAUGAGAACCUUAAUUUCUUUCAUAAAAUAUGGAGAAAAAUUCUCAUGUUAGGGUUUCAGUUGGAAGAGGAAUAUUUAGACAUUUCAGACAUGAUUUUGUGUCGAUAACAACCCCAUACGUGGUACAUUUCCCACCCAAAUUUCUACAUGUUGUCCAUGGGGAUCCAUGGGCUCCAGAUUGGGUAGUGUUUGUAAAAUAAGUAGCUGACAUUUUUCAAGGGUGGCAAUAAUGUAUGCAAAGUUUCUAUAAUGAUUUAACUGAAUGUGUAGGAAACACGCACACAUGUACACAGAGGCCACUUAGCUUUGAGUAUGUAGAUUCUGAAAAAAAAAUGGUUGAUUUUAGGAUAACUACAAAAUUUUAACAUUAUACAGAAAAUGUUCCCUUUUGGCAGCUUGGCUGAUUUAUUUUUGUUUCUAAUUCUUUUUCCAGUUUCCAGUCUUGCACUCAGUUGGACAUAUGUCCUCUAAUGAGUGGUCUUUUAAUUACAGCAGACAACAAAUGGAGGAGGGCAGAUGCAAUCUGUCUGUGUGCAAGAGAUCUGAAAAAGUAAGAUAACGACGUGGUUUGUGAAAGCAGACAAGAGAAGGGAAGAUAAUGAACUCAUGAAGAUGUUCAGUGUGUCAGUACAAGAAAUAUAAGUAAGUGCUAUAGAGGCCCUGAGGACGAACUGUGCUGGUGCAUAUCCCUGGAUUCUGUAGUGGAUGAGAGUCUACAACUCCCCAGGAAUGGGACAUCAGUGUGACGCCGGUUAUUUCCCCAACAAAGGCCAGUGUCCAUUUACAGCUGGGUGCAGUGGUUCAAUGCAGGUGAAAUAUCUCGCGCACAGAGACAGUCAGGUAGCAUGAUCGGGCAUCAAACCAACAAAUUAGUAGCCCAACUUCUUACACCACUGAGUUACCUGAUCGUCACAGGAAAUAUAGUACAGCAGCAAGUUAUCAAACCCCAUCAGUUUUACACUGUGCUAUUCGAAGAUUUCAGAUUUUCUUGUCAGUACUGCAGUGAAGCCACUCAAAUUAUAAUGUACAAAAUUGCUUACAUAUAUAAAAUGUACAAACAAACAAUAGGUAACUGCACUAAAUUAUGAUUUUGUUCCUCUUCCACAUUAUAUGGAAACGAGUCUUGCGGUCCAGGAUGUAAAGAGUUAGCAAACACGCCACCAUCAGCAUAUGACCUAGCAGAAUUUACAACAUCGCGUCACAGUUGAUAAGAAAAUGAAAUACACAAACACCACUGUGUUUUAGUGGAUAAUGUCAGUUUCAGGCUUGGGGAGCAAUAGAAUACAUGUAAGUAAUUCUGUAAUGAGGUUACAAAUAACUGUAACUAUUCCUUUGCAUUUUCAGAGACACAGAAGCAUCUUGAUGACAGGAUUUUUUUGUUUUUUGGAAAUGGGUACUUUUUCUGGGUUACACAAUUUUCUGAACAUAAAAAAAUAACAACAGUUCUCUCAACCCUGUGCUGUUUUGUCAAAGUAUUUGCUGCCAGAGAUGGAAACAAACACAUUCAAUGGAAAAAGCAUUAAACCAUUAUUAGACUACUCCUUUAAAAAGUGCUUAUUACACUAUUCGCAAUAUGCUUUGUUACAUCCUCACAUUUUCUUCUAUGAAUGCUUUAAUUCACAUUCCUGACUUAUAUUGCCCUAUUUUUAUUGUAUUAUCUUUUGUUUUACUGUUGUUAAUUGUGACUUCAUUGAUUUUUACGUAACUGUUGCUGUGUCUAUGGUGCAGCUGUCUUGGGCAGGUCUCACUUGCAAUUGAGAUUUUAAAUCUCAGUGUGAUUUUAAUCCUAGUUUAUUAAAGAAAUGUAUUCAGAAUUCAUUGUAGAUACUUAUUAACUACUAGUGCGCGGAUACCCAUUCCUAAAGGAUCAAAAAAUAUAAAUGAUCUAUUCAACAAAACUGUACGGAUUAGAUUUAUUAGCUAGGUUGUCGAUUUAUAAACAACAUUCAGGAGUCAGGUAGCGUGAUCAGUGGCAUACAAAAACAUAAGUUACGAACUUCCAGAACUUAAAUAUCAGUAUACUUUUCCUUUAAUCAUCAUAAUAAAACAGUUAAUCAGUGGAUUAAAUUUUAGUCUGUGCUAAACUCACUCAAGCCAGCAAAUCUUCUUGUCAAAAAUGGCAAGAAAAAUGCACCAAAAUUUCAUGAAUAACAGAUCACUAAGAUGGACAAAAAAUGUGAAAGUGAGGAAAGGUUGGUAACUACCUGUUUUCUGCAGAAGUAUGAUUACUGAGGACCAGAAUUUACACAUGGUGUCUGUCUCCAGGUCAACACAGCAGCUGGAGCUUUUGAUAUCAUGCUAUCCUCAGAGUUUUGGUAAAUUUUUUUAAUUUUUGGUGAAUUUCCACCCUCCUCAGGACCUUCAACAGUGCAUUGGGACGACUAAUGAAAAUCACUAGUUGACUCGUCAUGUAGCCUACCAUUAGUCGGCGACUAGUUGGCGACUAAAUUUGACAUUGAAAUAAUUAAGCCAAUUUGGAAUCUUUAUAGUGAAACUCAAAUGUCACAUUUAUUUUAACAAAUAUAAGCACAAAUACAACAAACAGCAUUGACAUGAAGACAAUAGCUGCAUUCAUUUACUAGGCAUAGACUACCCGUUUGAGCUGACGAGUUCACCUACCGAGGUUCACACACUGUCUUCACUGAGUGAAGGGAGUGAUGGCAGCUCCAGUAGGGCAAUUAUUUUAAAGGUUAAAUGAACUUAAUAAAUGGUUUCUGCUAGUUAACUAAUAAAAAAUAGUUGACUAGUUGGAUGUUAGCUAGUUGUAGUCAACUAUUACGACUAGUUGUCCCAUCCCUACCACAAACUGUGGUCAUGUCUGUGACACUUUGCUUUAAUUAUUUAUACUGAACAACAAAAGAAAUGCAAGUUUUUCUACAAACAGUUAGGGAGGCGUAUUGGACACUGUUACGGUCUAUAUAUAAAAGCAAAUGAUACAAUUUUAAAUUUGUUGCAUUUUUGCCAUGCCACGCCUCACUGACACUCUUCGUGAAGGUGCCAUUGGCAUGCUGGAUGCUGGUUUGACAGCACGGAACAUAGCGUUUAAAUGUUCACGAGUCGACUAUCAGCUGGUUAAGGAAGUGGUUCCAUGAGUCACGGCAGUUCGUGAUGGAAUUAUGAAAAGUCAGUUAAUCUAUGUGUUUGUGAUGUAGUCACUAAAUGGGGCACUUUUUGUGAUGGGGGCACGAAACUGCAACAAUGAUCGAUGGAAUAAGGACAGAUCAUUGAUUUCAUCCAAUAAUGCUUCAAAACUAGCUUCUUUUAAAGACAAAUUUGGUCUGUAAAUGUUUUUUAUUUUGUUAUAAAAUGUGAUUUUUAAACUCACAAUUUUCAUUCUUACUUUAUUUUACAUGAGGGACCGUAACUUUACGAACUGGUGACCCGGGAGAUAUUCAUGGUCCAGUUGACGCCAGAAAACCUUAGUGCACUGCUCCACAGAAAAAGCACAUUAUUGAGGAACAAAUAAAAACUGUACGGUAUAAAAUGGCAGAUGAUUCUCUUUUCUUGCCUACAAGAACAGACAAGAUUCCCGGUUGCGAAUUAAUCAGCAGAUAAGUGAGUUACGAUUGACAUCUUUAAAUGGCUUUGACGGAGGUUGAUGAAUAAAUUGUAUUGUGGAUCCGCUCCUUAUGAAUCAUAUCCAGCAGGUCCACAAUCAUUGUAUAGAAAUGAUCAUUUUCCCGCUACACACCCUCAAAAAACAACAUAACGGCCCAACCUAGGCUUGGUGGUGGCAUAUUUAGGGAAUACAUUAUAUGACUGAAAUCAUAAAUAGCAUAACAGUUUAACAUCCAGAAAGAGAUACUAU